AGUCGUAACAAGGUUUCCGUAGGUGAACCUGCGGAAGGAUCAUUACUGAUUUGCUUAAUUGCACCACAUGUGUUUUUUAUUGAACAAAUUUCUUUGGUGGCGGGAGCAAUCCUACCGCCAGAGGUUAUAACUAAACCAAACUUUUUAUUUACAGUCAAACUUGAUUUAUUAUUACAAUAGUCAAAACUUUCAACAACGGAUCUCUUGGUUCUCGCAUCGAUGAAGAACGCAGCGAAAUGCGAUACGUAAUAUGAAUUGCAGAUAUUCGUGAAUCAUCGAAUCUUUGAACGCACAUUGCGCCCUUUGGUAUUCCAAAGGGCAUGCCUGUUUGAGCGUCAUUUCUCCCUCAAACCCCCGGGUUUGGUGUUGAGCAAUACGCUAGGUUUGUUUGAAAGAAUUUACGUGGAAACUUAUUUUAAGCGACUUAGGUUUAUCCAAAACGCUUAUUUUGCUAGUGGCCACCACAAUUUAUUUCAUAACUUUGACCUCAAAUCAGGUAGGACUACCCGCUGAACUUAAGCAUAUCAAUAAGCGGAGGA
rnacentral:misc_RNA from 1 species